rnacentral:rRNA from 1 species
UGGGGAAUAUUGGACAAUGGGCGCAAGCCUGAUCCAGCCAUGCCGCGUGUGUGAAGAAGGCCUUUUGGUUGUAAAGCACUUUAAGCGAGGAGGAGGCUACUUGGAUUAAUACUCUAGGAUAGUGGACGUUACUCGCAGAAUAAGCACCGGCUAACUCUGUGCCAACAGCCGCGGUAAUACAGAGGGUGCGAGCGUUAAUCGGAUUUACUGGGCGUAAAGCGUGCGUAGGCGGCUUCUUAAGUCGGAUGUGAAAUCCCUGAGCUUAACUUAGGAAUUGCAUUCGAAACUGGGAAGCUAGAGUAUGGGAGAGGAUGGUAGAAUUCCAGGUGUAGCGGUGAAAUGCGUAGAGAUCUGGAGGAAUACCGAUGGCGAAGGCAGCCAUCUGGCCUAAUACUGACGCUGAGGUACGAAAGCAUGGGGAGCAAACAGG